rnacentral:rRNA from 1 species
AUUGAACGCUGGCGGCAUGCCUUACACAUGCAAGUCGAACGGUAACAGGUCUUCGGAUGCUGACGAGUGGCGAACGGGUGAGUAAUACAUCGGAACGUGCCUAGUAGUGGGGGAUAACUACUCGAAAGAGUGGCUAAUACCGCAUGAGAUCUACGGAUGAAAGCAGGGGAUCGAAAGACCUUGUGCUACUAGAGCGGCCGAUGGCAGAUUAGGUAGGUGGUGGGAUAAAAGCUUACCAAGCCGACGAUCUGUAGCUGAUCUGAGAGGACGAUCAGCCACACUGGGACUGAGACACGGCCCAGACUCCUACGGGAGGCAGCAGUGGGGAAUUUUGGACAAUGGGCGCAAGCCUGAUCCAGCAAUGCCGCGUGCAGGAUGAAGGCCUUCGGGUUGUAAACUGCUUUUGUACGGAACGAAAAGCCCUGGGUUAAUACCCUGGGGUCAUGACGGUACCGUAAGAAUAAGCACCGGCUAACUACGUGCCAGCCGCCGCAGUAACAC